ACUACAUGGACAUUGAGAUAUUCAAUAUAUGAAGGAAGAAUUUUUACAGCAUUCAGGUGAAUUUGUCCUCAACUGCUUAUGUAAGGGCUCCACAUAGUUAUAUCAUCAUGAUUUUAGACUCGUCCUGCCAAAUGGUUUCUUCUAAAACAAGGUUUGGGUUCGCAAAGCUUAUUCGGGGAAGCAAUCACAUGUAUCAGAAGUGGAGGACUGGGAAGCAUGAUACAGGCAG